GAUGAACGCUGGCGGUGUGCCUAAUACAUGCAAGUCGUACGCAUUCCCGUUUUUGAUUGAAGGUGCUUACACCUGAUUGAUAAAACAUCGGAAUGAGUGGCGGACGGGUGAGUAACACGUGGGUAACCUGCCCAGAAGUGGUGGGAUAACUAGUUUAGGAAACAAGAUGACUAACUACCGCAUAAUAGAUACGAACCACAGUUGGUUCUUUAUUUUAGAAAGAGUCGGUCCUUUGUGCUAU
rnacentral:rRNA from 1 species